CAGCCGCCGCGGGAAUACGGAGGGUGCAAGCGUUAAUCGGAAUUACUGGGCGUAAAGCGUGCGUAGGCGGUUUGUUAAGUCUGCUGUGAAAUCCCCGGGCUCAACCUGGGAAUGGCAGUGGAUACUGGCAAGCUAGAGUGUGUCAGAGGAUGGUGGAAUUCCCGGUGUAGCGGUGAAAUGCGUAGAGAUCGGGAGGAACAUCAGUGGCGAAGGCGGCCAUCUGGGACAACACUGACGCUGAGGCACGAAAGCGUGGGGAGCAAACAGGAUUAGAUACCCCUGUAGUCCCUGUCUCUUAUAC
rnacentral:rRNA from 1 species